rnacentral:rRNA from 1 species
AACGAACGCUGGCGGCAUGCCUAACACAUGCAAGUCGAACGAGACCUUCGGGUCUAGUGGCGCACGGGUGCGUAACGCGUGGGAACCUGCCUUUAGGCUCGGAAUAACUCAGAGAAAUUUGAGCUAAUACCGGAUGAUGUCUUCGGACCAAAGAUUUAUCGCCUUUAGAUGGGCCCGCGUUGGAUUAGCUAGUUGGUGGGGUAAAGGCCUACCAAGGCGACGAUCCAUAGCUGGUCUGAGAGGAUGAUCAGCCACACUGGGACUGAGACACGGCCCAGACUCCUACGGGAGGCAGCAGUGGGGAAUAUUGGACAAUGGGCGAAAGCCUGAUCCAGCAAUGCCGCGUGAGUGAUGAAGGCCUUAGGGUUGUAAAGCUCUUUUACCCGAGAUGAUAAUGACAGUAUCGGGAGAAUAAGCUCCGGCUAACUCCGUG